rnacentral:rRNA from 1 species
ACCUUCGGGAGCUUGCACAGGUGCUGCAUGGCUGUCGUCAGCUCGUGUCGUGAGAUGUUCGGUUAAGUCCGCUAACGAGCGCAACCCUCACUGUGUGUUAUAUGUGUCACACGGGACUGCCGGUUUUAAGCCGGAGGAAGGUGGGGAUGACGUCAAGUCAGCAUGGCCUUUAUAUCCUGGGCUACACACACGCUACAAUGGUCGGUACAAUAGGUUGCCAAGCCGCGAGGCGGAGCCAAUCCAUAAAAGCCGGCCUCAGUUCAGAUUGUAGGCUGCAACUCGCCUGCAUGAAGAUGGAGUUGCUAGUAACCGCAGGUCAGCAAUACUGCGGUGAAUACGUUCCCGGGUCUU